UCCUAUCAGCAGAUAAACUAG
rnacentral:piRNA from 1 species